CCACAUGAUUUGUCACUGAGUUGUCUCAAUUUUUACAGAUUCAUUGUUCCAGUGCUUGUUGGUACACCUAUAUUCGCGGACAGAUGCUUGUUCGUCGUGUGCGUCUCCGAGAGAGGGUCUAACGCGAGAACGAAUCUCUCUUCAAACCUGCGGAAUUUAAACGAGUUUAGGACAAUAUGCGCUGAAAUGGCGCACAUCUAGAUCAGAAUCAUCGGUUCUCCAAAGAUCUAGUCGGUUAAUUAUUGGUCUUCGAUUCCAAUACUUACGGUAGAUUGCAGCGGAAAAGAGAAUUUCACCGAAAUAUUGCCAAAAUGAUUCGUUCCCGUGAAGUCUUAUUAAAAUCUACAGUUUUGAGACCACCAAUUUAUCUGUGGAUAUUAUUUAAAACCAUUCCACUUUUGGGAAUGUUCAUUCUAUCAGCGAGUACUCCGGUAUCAGCAAGAGAAGUUAAUUCAGUCGAUCCCGAAACUCUUAGUCUCAAAAAUCAGGACGCUAUGAUCGACUAUAUCAACAGAGUUCAGUCGUCAUGGACGGUAAUAAAAGUUUCCAUCAUACCUCAAGAAAAUGUAAACUUAAAAGGGUGGUUGAAAUAGAAAACUAUUGCUUGAAUGUUCGUGCUUAAAGUAAUAGGUCGAGUGGCGUCAGCCAAGUUUUGGGUAAGUCCCCGCUGCCCCCUUAAAUCUAUAGCCCUGCGAAGGUACAGCUCAUGCGGACCCAAAAUCCAGGCGAUGCGAGUUUAGGACCCAGUCCUGGAAUUGUUUUUCCGUAAAACGUAGGCACAAACAAUAUUUACUCAAAAUGUCUCAUACCUCAAUUUUUUAACUAACUCUUAUCCUAAAAAUGGUAACCUUUCAUUAUGAGUACAGUGCAAUCAAUGGGACUGAAACAGACAUUUUUAUUAACAAACUUUGCUUAUAAUAAAUAUGACGGUGCGACAUACCAGCGGAUAGAGGCAGUGCAAUUGUUAAAACUUACAGACAAAAUUGCGAUUACAAAAUUCGUUCUUACCUAGAGCAGAAAGCGAAAGAAAAAAAUUAUCAAAAAUUAUGUAGGAAAUUAUGAAAAAUUAUGAAGAAAAACUUUUAGUUUCAUCUCUAUUGAUUUGAAAUAUCUUGAUUUCAAGAACGAGAAAGAUGAAAUGCACAUUAUGAAACAAAUAAGCUACAAACAAUUCUCUGUGACGAUUAAAGAGGCCUCAAUGCUCGUUGGUUUUAUUGUUAAUUCUUACGGGUCAAUCAAUCUUUUAAAAGUCAACACCAUCUUGUGCUCGAUAGAACUGGGUCCGAAUUUUGUUGACAAGUUUGCGGUAGGCCACAAAUUGAGAUAAUAAGUCGCCUUCAUAUUGGAUCGCUGAUUUAGAGUUUGCACCUUUGAGGAACUAAGGAUGGCUCGAACCUGCUAGAAGAAAGAGCUUAACUUGCGUACAGCUUGAGCCUAGAGUAUAUUUUUCCUGUUUUAAAGUCGAAUCUAGAGGUUAGGUUUGUCGACCUGCAGUCGACCGUAGCCAACAAAAGUCAGACCCUGAUCCAUGGUUUUUGCGUUUGGCCCAGAUAUUCCAGACCAAAUUAUCAUCAAAGACCAAAGUCUGUCAUCGGUGUCAAACAUUGGUCAAACUCGCUCCUAAUGUAAACAAACAAACGGCGACAUAGUCCGGACAUAAACAAAGCGGAUCUUGUCGAGAUGUUCCAGACUCGAUUAAUCAGCGUUAGCGUUUCUUCACCUCGACAAAAGAACUUUCUUCCGCGUCCAUCAUUUAUCCCUUUCGUAAAAUCAGACAUCAGUUACCCCGUUGAUCUGUUCAUGGUGAUUUCCAGGUGAAAUUGCGGUGAGAUACUCCUAACGUAAACAAAGCGGCCUGUACCUGGUCGAGAUGUUCCGGACUCAUUUCUUCAUUUACGUUUCUUCAUCUCGACCAAAUAAGUUUCCUGCGCGUCCAAAGUAACAUUUUCCGGUUCCAUUUUUAAAAAGAAACAAGCCAUUUUGUAGUAAGUUAGGAUAAUAUUUGUGUUGAUUGAGUGGCAUGAGCAUUGGACUACC
rnacentral:lncRNA from 1 species